CAAAGUAGAGCUAAGUUAGUAUAGCAUUUCAGUUACGUUGAAAAGAUUUAUUGUGCAAUUCAAUAUACUUUGA
rnacentral:tRNA from 1 species